UACGAAGGGGGCUAGCGUUGUUCGGAUUUACUGGGCGUAAAGCGCGUGUAGGCGGGGCGUUAAGUUGGGGGUGAAAUCCCGAGGCUCAACCUCGGAACUGCCUUCAAAACUGGCGACCUGGACUCAAGUAGAGGCAAGUGGAAUUGCGAGUGUAGAGGUGAAAUUCGUAGAUAUUCGCAGGAACGCCAGUGGCGAAGGCGACUUGCUGGACUUGUAGUGACGCUGAGACGCGAAAGCGUGGGGAGCAAACAGG
rnacentral:rRNA from 1 species